rnacentral:rRNA from 1 species
UACAGAGGUCCCAAGCGUUUGUUCGGAUUCAUUGGGCGUAAAGGGUGUGUAGGUGGCGCCGUAAGUCGGGUGUGAAAUUUCGGAGCUUAACUCCGAAACUGCAUUCGAUACUGCGGUGCUUGAGGACUGGAGAGGAGACUGGAAUUCAUGGUGUAGCAGUGAAAUGCGUAGAGAUCAUGAGGAAGACCAGUGGCGAAGGCGGGUCUCUGGACAGUUCCUGACACUGAGACACGAAAGCUAGGGGAGCGAAUGGG